GACGUAGGAGGCGAGCGUUGUCCGGAUUCAUUGGGCGUAAAGCGCGCGCAGGCGCCGGCAGAGCCCGGCGUGAAAGCUCCCAGCUUAACUGGGAGAGGUCGGUCGGGGACCUGGUGGCUAGAGGCCGGUAGGGGUGAGCGGAAUUCCCGGUGUGGUGGUGGAAUGCGUAGAGAUCGGGAGGAACACCGGUGGCGAAGGCGGCUCACUGGGCCGGUCCUGACGCUCAGGCGCGAAAGCGUGGGGAGCGAGUCCGG
rnacentral:rRNA from 1 species